ACGGCUAAAAUUGAAUCGUUCUCAGCAGAUAACUUCCACACCAACUAUCAAAUAUCUGUGACAAAAUUUUAUUAUGGUAAGAUGAACUAUGAUAAGUUGUCAGAUAAAAAGACCCUGCAGACACCGAAAUCAAGUGCAGCAUGUGGUCCUGUAGUUCUCACUGUAGGAUCGAGUUAUAUUUUAUCAGUUGACCUGUAUGAUGGGAAAAUGAGCCAUAACUUGUGCGGA